rnacentral:rRNA from 1 species
UACGUAGGCAGCGAGCGUUGUUCGGAGUUACUGGGCGUAAAGAGUGCGUAGGCGGUUUUCUAAGUUUGGUGUGAAAUCUCCCGGCUUAACUGGGAGGGUGCGCCGAAGACUGGAAGGCUUGAGUAUGGGAGAGGUAAGCGGGAUUCCUGGUGUAGCGGUGAAAUGCGUAGAUAUCAGGAGGAACACCUGCGGUGUAGACGGCUUACUGGACCAUCACUGACGCUGAGGCACGAAAGCGUGGGUAGCAAACAGG